rnacentral:tRNA from 1 species
GGUCCGCUGGUGUAGCUGGUUAUCACAUUCGCUUCACAUCUUCUCCACCCUCUCAGGGUGUUUCACUAGUGUUCGCGAGAGGCCAUGAGUUCGAACCUCAUGCGGAUCA